AACGGGUGAGUAACACGUGGGUAACCUGCCCAUCAGAAGGGGAUAACACUUGGAAACAGGUGCUAAUACCGUAUAACAAUCGAAACCGCAUGGUUUUGAUUUGAAAGGCGCUUUCGGGUGUCGCUGAUGGAUGGACCCGCGGUGCAUUAGCUAGUUGGUGAGGUAACGGCUCACCAAGGCCACGAUGCAUAGCCGACCUGAGAGGGUGAUCGGCCACAUUGGGACUGAGACACGGCCCAAACUCCUACGGGAGGCAGCAGUAGGGAAUCUUCGGCAAUGGACGAAAGUCUGACCGAGCAACGCCGCGUGAGUGAAGAAGGUUUUCGGAUCGUAAAACUCUGUUGUUAGAGAAGAACAAGGAUGAGAGUAACUGUUCAUCCCUUGACGGUAUCUAACCAGAAAGCCACGGCUAACUACGUGCCAGCAGCCGCGGUAAUACGUAGGUGGCAAGCGUUGUCCGGAUUUAUUGGGCGUAAAGCGAGCGCAGGCGGUUUCUUAAGUCUGAUGUGAAAGC
rnacentral:rRNA from 1 species